rnacentral:sRNA from 1 species
UGAUGAUGAUAUCUGUGAGGGCAGUGCUAAGAGUAAUAUUGCCAAAUAUUAUGAGCUCACAUGAGCCUCUCUCUCCUUGUUUCAGGACCUUGGGCUACACCAUUUCUAGAGAAACUCAGAACCUGCAGGUGCCUUACUUUGUGGAUAAAAACUUUGACAAGGCCUACAGAGGAGCUUCUCUGCAUGACCUGGAGAAAACAAUAGAGAAGGAUUACAUUGAUUAUAUCCAGAGUAGUUGUUGGAAGGAGAAACAACAAAAGUCAGAGCUGACAAAUUUGGCAGGAUUAUACAGAGAUGAACGAUUGAAACAGAAAGCAGAGUCGCUGAAACUUGAAAACUGUGAGAAACUUUCCAAACUCAUUGGCCUACGCAGAGGUGGCUGAGAGGAUAAUGGUCCUACGCAGGGCUGGGGUUUUGCUACUUGUUCCUAUUUAUGUUCCUGAUUCCAUUUUAUAAUACAAAAUUAGGUAAUGAUA